rnacentral:sRNA from 1 species
AAAGUUAUAAAGUCAAAAAGUUUUAACUAAAAAAAAAACAAAAGGGAUGCAACACGAAAACUUCUCAUGAGGUC